rnacentral:rRNA from 1 species
GUAACAAGGUCUCCGUUGGUGAACCAGCGGAGGGAUCAUUACCGAGUUUACAACUCCCAAACCCCUGUGAACAUACCACUUGUUGCCUCGGCGGAUCAGCCCGCUCCCGGUAAAACGGGACGGCCCGCCAGAGGACCCCUAAACUCUGUUUCUAUAUGUAACUUCUGAGUAAAACCAUAAAUAAAUCAAAACUUUCAACAACGGAUCUCUUGGUUCUGGCAUCGAUGAAGAACGCAGCAAAAUGCGAUAAGUAAUGUGAAUUGCAGAAUUCAGUGAAUCAUCGAAUCUUUGAACGCACAUUGCGCCCGCCAGUAUUCUGGCGGGCAUGCCUGUUCGAGCGUCAUUUCAACCCUCAAGCACAGCUUGGUGUUGGGACUCGCGUUAAUUCGCGUUCCUCAAAUUGAUUGGCGGUCACGUCGAGCUUCCAUAGCGUAGUAGUAAAACCCUCGUUACUGGUAAUCGUCGCGGCCACGCCGUUAAACCCCAACUUCUGAAUGUGACCUCGGAUCAGUAGAUCCAGU